AUGAGGAUACACCGCUGGACUCCCUCUUCACUUUAUGGUCGCAUCUUCCCCGUCUGUGUACAAUUUAUUCCACUGCUCGACUCAGUGUCCGUCUCAACAAAACCUAACAUGUCGGUGCGAAAUUCUGCUAUGUUCAGUGGACAUGUAUGCUUAAUAUCCCCUCACUGGACAAGAUUGGAUUUUAGUGUAUACAAGCCCUCCUGUCAGCUGCUCAGUGGUGAUGAUGGCGGGUCUUCCGAAUCGCUUCCUCAGCCUAACAAUGCAGCCUACAAACUAACUGUUAUCAACAUCAGUAAUGAUGCUGGCCCUUCGCACCGUCGCUUGAAUGCCAAGGAAAACAAGAAAAAGGAGCAUGCAUUGCAUGUAUUUCUUGGUCAGUUGUAUUUACCCAAAGCUUUAUGA
rnacentral:rRNA from 1 species